ACACACAGAGGAGAAAGCAGAAGCUUAAAGAAACCCUAAGAAUUCCUCUGUGCUCUGUUCCAGCCUGCUCCAAGAUUCUGACAUCUCAUAACUGCACACACGGAGGAGAAAGCAGAAGCUUAAAGAAACCCUAAGAAUUCCUCUGUGCUCUGUUCCAUCCUGUCCAAGAUUCUGACAUCUCAUAGAUCCCACAUCUACUUUCUUCCAGUUUGGAGUGUCCAUCCAGCAGCAGGUCAUGGUCAUGCUGAAGAUCAUGCAGGAUUAUGACUGGCACAUCUUCUUCCUGGUGACCACCAUCUUUGCCCACUACAAGGACUUCAUUAGCUUCAUCACAACAACCAUGGACAACAGCUUUGUGGGCUGGGACAUACAGCAUGUGAUCACACUGGACACCUCCUUCAAGGAAGCCAAGACACAAGUGCAGCUGAAGAAGAUCCACUCCUUCAUCAUCCUGCUCUACUGUUCCA